rnacentral:rRNA from 1 species
UACGGAGGGUGCGAGCGUUGUUCGGAAUUACUGGGCGUAAAGGGCGCGUAGGCGGAUCUUUAAGUCGGGGGUGAAAGCCUGAGGCUCAACCUCAGAAUUGCCUUCGAUACUGGAGAUCUUGAGACCGGAAGAGGUAAGUGGAACUGCGAGUGUAGAGGUGAAAUUCGUAGAUAUUCGCAAGAACACCAGUGGCGAAGGCGGCUUACUGGUCCGGUUCUGACGCUGAGGCGCGAAAGCGUGGGGAGCAAACAGG